CGUAAACGUACUCAACGGAUUCAACCUGCUGUGAACAGGACCUACAUACACCCCAAAGGCUCUUUUCAGAGCCAUGUUACCAAGCAUCUUUGUACAUAGUGCCGGUUUUCCUUCAGUAGUGCCAGUUUUCCUGAGAUUUUACCUCGUCCUCCACUGCCUUCAGUAAUUCCUGGUUUUAAGGUGGAGUAAUGGAGUAAAGAUGCAACGGAGCAGCUGAUAAGAAAACAUGCUUAAGACCAUCUUAAACGUGCACCAUCAAGAAAGGGAGGGGUACACAAUAAACUUUUUUUUAACAUUACUUUUUGAAUAGAUGCACUUUUUUAA